rnacentral:rRNA from 1 species
CCUACGGGAGGCAGCAGUGGGGAAUAUUGGGCAAUGGAGGAAACUCUGACCCAGCGACGCCGCGUGCGGGAUGAAGGCCUUCGGGUUGUAAACCGCUUUCAGCAGGGAAGAAGCGAAAGUGACGGUACCUGCAGAAUAAGCUCCGGCUAACUUCGUGCCAGCAGCCGCGGUAAU